AACGUAGGUACCGAGCGUUAUCCGGAUUUACUGGGCGUAAAGCGCGUUCAGGCGGUUCGGCAAGUCGGGCAUGAAAUCUCUCGGCUCAACCGGGAGAGGUUGUCCGAUACUGUUGGACUUGAGGGCAGUAGAGGGUGGUGGAAUUCCGGGUGUAGUGGUGAAAUGCGUAGAUAUCCGGAGGAACACCAGUGGCGAAAGCGGCCACCUGGACUGUACCUGACGCUCAAACGCGAAAGCUAGGGGAGCGAACGGG
rnacentral:rRNA from 1 species